rnacentral:rRNA from 1 species
AGUGAACGCUGGCGGUAGGCCUAACACAUGCAAGUCGAACGGCAGCACAGUAAGGGCUUGCUCUUACGGGUGGCGAGUGGCGGACGGGUGAGGAAUACAUCGGAAUCUACUUUUUCGUGGGGGAUAACGUAGGGAAACUUACGCUAAUACCGCAUACGACCUACGGGUGAAAGCAGGGGAUCUUCGGACCUUGCGCGAUUGAAUGAGCCGAUGUCGGAUUAGCUAGUUGGCGGGGUAAAGGCCCACCAAGGCGACGAUCCGUAGCUGGUCUGAGAGGAUGAUCAGCCACACUGGAACUGAGACACGGUCCAGACUCCUACGGGAGGCAGCAGUGGGGAAUAUUGGACAAAGGGCGCAAGCCUGAUCCGGCCAUACCGCGUGGGUGAAGAAGGCCUUCGGGUUGUAAAGCCCUUUUGUUGGGAAAGAAAAGCAGCAGGUUAAUACCCCGCUGUUCUGACGGUACCCAAAGGAUAAGCACCGGCUAACUUCGUG